UACGAACUGUGCAAACGUUAUUCGGAAUCACUGGGCUUAAAGGGUGCGUAGGCGGCCAUUUAAGUAGGGUGUGAAAGCCCCCGGCUCAACCGGGGAAUUGCGUCCUAAACUGGCUGGCUAGAGUGAGAUAGAGGUGUGUGGAACUUCCGGUAGAGCGGUGAAAUGUGUUGAUAUCGGAAGGAACGCCGGUGGCGAAAGCGACACACUGGGUCUCAACUGACGCUGAGGCACGAAAGCCAGGGGAGCGAACGGG
rnacentral:rRNA from 1 species